rnacentral:rRNA from 1 species
CUGCUCAAUGUAAUAAUAAAUAGCCGCAAUAUCUGUGCUAAGGUAGCAUAAUCAUUAGCCUUUUAAUUUAAGGAUAGUAUGAAAGGUAAAACGAAAUAUAAAUUAUCUCUAAAAAUAUCAAUAAAUUUAAAAUAAAAGUUAAAAUUCUUUUAAAAAUAAGAAAGACGAUAAGACCCUAAAAACUUAACAUUUUACUGGGGCGGUAAUAUAAAAAAACCUUAAUUUAAUUAACAAUAUAAUCCUAAUAAAAUUAUUUAAAGUUACUUUAGGGAUAACAGCGCAAUAUUUUUUAAAAGACCUAAUAUAAAAAAAAAUUACGACCUCGAUGUUGAAUUAAUUAUUCUAUUUAGUGCAAAAACUAAAAAAGUUAGUCUGUUCGACUAUAAAAAAAUU